rfam:Caenorhabditis japonica strain DF5081 Contig5644.1, whole genome shotgun sequence.
CCAACGGCCCUCUUUAGGGCCACAUUUGUGAAAAUCCUCGCUUCAU